rnacentral:rRNA from 1 species
AGUGAACGCUGGCGGCGUGCCUAAUACAUGCAAGUCGAACGGAGUGGCGCACGGGUGAGUAAUGUAUAGCUAAUCUUCCCUACACUAGAGGACAACAGUUGGAAACGGCUGCUAAUACUCUAUAGUGUUGGUUGAGGCUAUAUUGUAUCAGCUAGUUGGUGAGGUAAUGACUCACCAAGGCUAUGACGCAUAACUGGUCUGAGAGGAUGAUCAGUAACACUGUAACUGAGACACGGUCCAGACUCCUAUGGGAGGCAGCGGUAGGGAAUAUUGCUCAAGGGGGGAAAACGUGAAGCAGCAACGCGGCGUGGAGGAUGACACUUUUCGGAGCGUAAACUCCUUUUGUUAGGGAAGCGGUACCUAACGAAGAAGCACCGGCUAACUCCGUGCCAGCAGCCGCGGUAAUUC